UACGUAGGGUGCAAGCGUUGUCCGGAAUUAUUGGGCGUAAAGAGCUUGUAGGCGGUUUGUCGCGUCUGCUGUGAAAAUUUCGGGGCUCAACCCCGAACUUGCAGUGGGUACGGGCAGACUAGAGUGUGGUAGGGGAGACUGGAAUUCCUGGUGUAGCGGUGAAAUGCGCAGAUAUCAGGAGGAACACCGAUGGCGAAGGCAGGUCUCUGGGCCACUACUGACGCUGAGAAGCGAAAGCAUGGGGGAGC
rnacentral:rRNA from 1 species